AUUGAACGCUGGCGGCAGGCCUAACACAUGCAAGUCGAGCGGAUGAGUGGAGCUCGCUCCAUGAUUCAGCGGCGGACGGGUGAGUAAUGCCUAGGAAUCUGCCUGGUAGUGGGGGACGACGUUUCGAAAGGAACGCUAAUACCGCAUACGUCCUACGGGAGAAAGUGGGGGAUCUUCGGACCUCACGCUAUCAGAUGAGCCUAGGUCGGAUUAGCUAGUUGGUGAGGUAAAGGCUCACCAAGGCGACGAUCCGUAACUGGUCUGAGAGGAUGAUCAGUCACACUGGAACUGAGACACGGUCCAGACUCCUACGGGAGGCAGCAGUGGGGAAUAUUGGACAAUGGGCGAAAGCCUGAUCCAGCCAUGCCGCGUGUGUGAAGAAGGUCUUCGGAUUGUAAAGCACUUUAAGUUGGGAGGAAGGGCAGUAAGUUAAUACCUUGCUGUUUUGACGUUACCAACAGAAUAAGCACCGGCUAACUUCGUGCCAGCCGCCGCGGUAAUAC
rnacentral:rRNA from 1 species